rnacentral:rRNA from 1 species
GUGGGGAAUAUUGGACAAUGGGCGAAAGCCUGAUCCAGCCAUGCCGCGUGUGUGAAGAAGGUCUUCGGAUUGUAAAGUACUUUAAGUUGGGAGGAAGGGCAGUAAGUUAAUACCUUGCUGUUUUGACGUUACCGACAGAAUAAGCACCGGCUAACUUCGUGCCAGCAGCCGCGGUAAUACGAAGGGUGCAAGCGUUAAUCGGAAUUACUGGGCGUAAAGCGCGCGUAGGUGGUUUUGUAAGUUGGAGGUGAAAUCCCCGGGCUCAACCUGGGAACUGCCUCCAAAACUGCAUGACUAGAGUACGGUAGAGGGUAGUGGAAUUUCCUGUGUAGCGGUGAAAUGCGUAGAUAUAGGAAGGAACACCAGUGGCGAAGGCGACUACCUGGACUGAUACUGACACUGAGGUGCGAAAGCGUGGGGAGCAAACAGGAUUAGAUACCCCGGUAGUCC